UCUCCAAGUAGAACCACUACCCAUUUCACACCGCUGUUCCAAGUUCUGGGAACACACCACCCAGUGGUAGCAAUGCCUCAGGCCAUGCCUCGACUCAUUUACCUGCAACGUCGGCCAACAGAUAGACCAACACUUCAAAGUUAUGACAGAAACUUGAGUGCCAGGAGCCAGACUCAGCCUACAGCUCUCUUCUGGUCGCCUGGAGGUGAAACCAUGUGUCAAGAUUAGUCAAAUCCUGUCUUCACUCAUCAAAAUACCCCAAGCCCCUUGCCUUUGGGGAGGCGGAUUUGAGACCUAUUCUCACGUCACGUCCUCGCUUGGCUGCCCUGUGAAUAAACCUCCUCUUUGCUGC